rnacentral:tRNA from 1 species
GGCGGAGUGCCCGAGUGGCCAAAGGGAGCUGACUGUAAAUCAGCCGCGAUACGCUUCGGGGGUUCAAAUCCCUCCUCCGCCA